GUCUGCGAUCAUACCACCGUGAACAAGUCUGAUGUCAGAUCUCGGAAGCUAAGCAGGGUCGGGCCUGGUUAGUACUUGGAUGGGAGACCACCUAGGAAGACCAGGUGCUGUAGGCA
rnacentral:rRNA from 1 species